rnacentral:rRNA from 1 species
UACGUAGGGUGCGAGCGUUGUCCGGAAUUAUUGGGCGUAAAGGGCUCGUAGGCGGUUUGUCGCGUCGGGAGUGAAAACCUCGGGCUUAACUCGGGGCUUGCUUUCGAUACGGGCAGACUGGAGGUAUGCAGGGGAGAACGGAAUUCCUGGUGUAGCGGUGAAAUGCGCAGAUAUCAGGAGGAACACCAGUGGCGAAGGCGGUGCUCUGGGCCGGAACUGACGCUGAGGAGCG